rnacentral:rRNA from 2 species
CAUCAUGAUUUACAUUUGAGUGAGUGGCGAACUGGUGAGUAACACGUGGGAAACCUGCCCAGAAGCGGGGGAUAACACCUGGAAACAGAUGCUAAUACCGCAUAACAACUUGGACCGCAUGGUCCGAGCUUGAAAGAUGGCUUCGGCUAUCACUUUUGGAUGGUCCCGCGGCGUAUUAGCUAGAUGGUGGGGUAACGGCUCACCAUGGCAAUGAUACGUAGCCGACCUGAGAGGGUAAUCGGCCACAUUGGGACUGAGACACGGCCCAAACUCCUACGGGAGGCAGCAGUAGGGAAUCUUCCACAAUGGACGAAAGUCUGAUGGAGCAACGCCGCGUGAGUGAAGAAGGGUUUCGGCUCGUAAAACUCUGUUGUUAAAGAAGAACAUAUCUGAGAGUAACUGUUCAGGUAUUGACGGUAUUUAACCAGAAAGCCACGGCUAACUACGUGCCAGCAGCCGCGGUAAUACGUAGGUGGCAAGCGUUGUCCGGAUUUAUUGGGCGUAAAGCGAGCGCAGGCGGUUUUUUAAGUCUGAUGUGAAAGCCUUCGGCUCAACCGAAGAAGUGCAUCGGAAACUGGGAAACUUGAGUGCAGAAGAGGACAGUGGAACUCCAUGUGUAGCGGUGAAAUGCGUAGAUAUAUGGAAGAACACCAGUGGCGAAGGCGGCUGUCUGGUCUGUAACUGACGCUGAGGCUCGAAAGUAUGGGUAGCAAACAGGAUUAGAUACCCUGGUAGUCCAUACCGUAAACGAUGAAUGCUAAGUGUUGGAGGGUUUCCGCCCUUCAGUGCUGCAGCUAACGCAUUAAGCAUUCCGCCUGGGGAGUACGGCCGCAAGGCUGAAACUCAAAGGAAUUGACGGGGGCCCGCACAAGCGGUGGAGCAUGUGGUUUAAUUCGAAGCUACGCGAAGAACCUUACCAGGUCUUGACAUACUAUGCAAAUCUAAGAGAUUAGACGUUCCCUUCGGGGACAUGGAUACAGGUGGUGCAUGGUUGUCGUCAGCUCGUGUCGUGAGAUGUUGGGUUAAGUCCCGCAACGAGCGCAACCCUUAUUAUCAGUUGCCAGCAUUAAGUUGGGCACUCUGGUGAGACUGCCGGUGACAAACCGGAGGAAGGUGGGGAUGACGUCAAAUCAUCAUGCCCCUUAUGACCUGGGCUACACACGUGCUACAAUGGAUGGUACAACGAGUUGCGAACUCGCGAGAGUAAGCUAAUCUCUUAAAGCCAUUCUCAGUUCGGAUUGUAGGCUGCAACUCGCCUACAUGAAGUCGGAAUCGCUAGUAAUCGCGGAUCAGCAUGCCGCGGUGAAUACGUUCCCGGGCCUUGUACACACCGCCCGUCACACCAUGAGAGUUUGUAACACCCA